rnacentral:rRNA from 1 species
UACGAAGGGGGCUAGCGUUGCUCGGAAUCACUGGGCGUAAAGCGCACGUAGGCGGACUCUUAAGUCGGUGGUGAAAUCCUGGAGCUCAACUCCAGAACUGCCUUCGAUACUGGGAGUCUCGAGUUCGGGAGAGGUGAGUGGAACUGCGAGUGUAGAGGUGAAAUUCGUAGAUAUUCGCAAGAACACCAGUGGCGAAGGCGGCUCACUGGCCCGAUACUGACGCUGAGGCGCGAAAGCUAGGGGAGCAAACAGG